AUUGAACGCUGGCGGCAUGCCUUACACAUGCAAGUCGAACGGCAGCACGGGGNGAACCCUGGUGGCGAGUGGCGAACGGGUGAGUAACACAUCGGAACGUACCCGGUGGUGGGGAGUAGCCCGGCGAAAGCCGGAUUAAUAACCGCAUACGACCUACGGGUGAAAGCGGGGGAUCGUAAGACCUCGCGCUAUCGGAGCGGCCGAUGUCAGAUUAGGUUGUUGGUGGGUAAAGGCCUACCAAGCCGANGAUCUGUAGCUGGUCUGAGAGGACGACCAGCCACACUGGGACUGAGACACGGCCCAGACUCCUACGGGAGGC
rnacentral:rRNA from 1 species